UUGAAGAGUUUGAUCAUGGCUCAGAUUGAACGCUGGCGGCAGGCCUAACACAUGCAAGUCGAGCGGUAGCACAGAGAGCUUGCUCUCGGGUGACGAGCGGCGGACGGGUGAGUAAUGUCUGGGAAACUGCCUGAUGGAGGGGGAUAACUACUGGAAACGGUAGCUAAUACCGCAUAAUGUCGCAAGACCAAAGUGGGGGACCUUCGGGCCUCAUGCCAUCAGAUGUGCCCAGAUGGGAUUAGCUAGUAGGUGGGGUAAUGGCUCACCUAGGCGACGAUCCCUAGCUGGUCUGAGAGGAUGACCAGCCACACUGGAACUGAGACACGGUCCAGACUCCUACGGGAGGCAGCAGUGGGGAAUAUUGCACAAUGGGCGCAAGCCUGAUGCAGCCAUGCCGCGUGUAUGAAGAAGGCCUUCGGGUUGUAAAGUACUUUCAGCGAGGAGGAAGGCGUUAAGGUUAAUAACCUUGGCGAUUGACGUUACUCGCAGAAGAAGCACCGGCUAACUCCGUGCCAGCAGCCGCGGUAAUACGGAGGGUGCAAGCGUUAAUCGGAAUUACUGGGCGUAAAGCGCACGCAGGCGGUCUGUCAAGUCGGAUGUGAAAUCCCCGGGCUCAACCUGGGAACUGCAUUCGAAACUGGCAGGCUAGAGUCUUGUAGAGGGGGGUAGAAUUCCAGGUGUAGCGGUGAAAUGCGUAGAGAUCUGGAGGAAUACCGGUGGCGAAGGCGGCCCCCUGGACAAAGACUGACGCUCAGGUGCGAAAGCGUGGGGAGCAAACAGGAUUAGAUACCCUGGUAGUCCACGCCGUAAACGAUGUCGACUUGGAGGUUGUGCCCUUGAGGCGUGGCUUCCGGAGCUAACGCGUUAAGUCGACCGCCUGGGGAGUACGGCCGCAAGGUUAAAACUCAAAUGAAUUGACGGGGGCCCGCACAAGCGGUGGAGCAUGUGGUUUAAUUCGAUGCAACGCGAAGAACCUUACCUACUCUUGACAUCCAGAGAACUUAGCAGAGAUGCUUUGGUGCCUUCGGGAACUCUGAGACAGGUGCUGCAUGGCUGUCGUCAGCUCGUGUUGUGAAAUGUUGGGUUAAGUCCCGCAACGAGCGCAACCCUUAUCCUUUGUUGCCAGCGGUCCGGCCGGGAACUCAAAGGAGACUGCCAGUGAUAAACUGGAGGAAGGUGGGGAUGACGUCAAGUCAUCAUGGCCCUUACGAGUAGGGCUACACACGUGCUACAAUGGCAUAUACAAAGAGAAGCGACCUCGCGAGAGCAAGCGGACCUCAUAAAGUAUGUCGUAGUCCGGAUUGGAGUCUGCAACUCGACUCCAUGAAGUCGGAAUCGCUAGUAAUCGUAGAUCAGAAUGCUACGGUGAAUACGUUCCCGGGCCUUGUACACACCGCCCGUCACACCAUGGGAGUGGGUUGCAAAAGAAGUAGGUAGCUUAACCUUCGGGAGGGCGCUUACCACUUUGUGAUUCAUGACUGGGGUGAAGUCGUAACAAGGUAACCGUAGGGGAACCUGCGGUUGGAUCACCUCCUU
rnacentral:rRNA from 1 species